rnacentral:tRNA from 1 species
GCUCCCGUAGGCUAAUGGAUAAACCUUCUGACUACGGAUCAGACUUUGGAGGUUCGAGUCCUCCCGGGAGUA